rnacentral:rRNA from 1 species
AUUGAACGCUGGCGGCAUGCCUUACACAUGCAAGUCGAACGGCAGCACGGACUUCGGUCUGGUGGCGAGUGGCGAACGGGUGAGUAAUGUAUCGGAACGUACCUUUCAGUGGGGGAUACGUAGCGAAAGUUACGCUAAUACCGCAUAUUCUGUGAGCAGGAAAGCAGGGGAUCGAAAGACCUUGCGCUGAUUGAGCGGCCGAUAUCAGAUUAGCUAGUUGGUGGGGUAAAGGCCUACCAAGGCGACGAUCUGUAGCGGGUCUGAGAGGAUGAUCCGCCACACUGGAACUGAGACACGGUCCAGACUCCUACGGGAGGCAGCAGUGGGGAAUUUUGGACAAUGGGGGCAACCCUGAUCCAGCCAUGCCGCGUGAGUGAAGAAGGCCUUCGGGUUGUAAAGCUCUUUCGGCCGGGAAGAAAUCGCAUAGGCUAAUACCCUGUGUGGAUGACGGUACCGGAAUAAGAAGCACCGGCUAACUACGUG